UGUGGCUCAGUGGUAGAGCACUUGCCUGGCAUGUGUGAGAUGCACUGGGUUCGAUUCUCAGCA
rnacentral:tRNA from 1 species